rnacentral:rRNA from 1 species
AUACGGAGGGUGCAAGCGUUAUCCGGAAUCAUUGGGUUUAAAGGGUCCGUAGGCGGUUAAUUAAGUCAGGGGUGAAAUCCCACAGCUCAACUGUGGCACUGCCUUUGAUACUGGUUAACUUGAGUUACAGUGAAGUAGAUAGAAUAUGUAGUGUAGCGGUGAAAUGCAUAGAUAUUACAUAGAAUACCGAUUGCGAAGGCAGUCUACUAACUGUAUACUGACGCUAAUGGACGAAAGCGUGGGGAGCGAACAGGAUUAGAUACCCUAGUAGUCC